rnacentral:rRNA from 1 species
AGAGUUUGAUCCUGGCUCAGGACGAACGCUGGCGGCGUGCCUAACACAUGCAAGUCGAGCGAAAUACCCCUUCGGGGAUAUUUAGCGGCGGACGGGUGAGUAACACGUGGGUAACCUGCCUUAUAGAGGGGGAUAGCCUUCCGAAAGGAAGAUUAAUACCGCAUAAAAUAUGAAGUUCGCAUGGAUUUUAUAUUAAAGGAGUAAUCCGCUAUAAGAUGGACCCGCGGCGCAUUAGCUAGUUGGUGAGGUAACGGCUCACCAAGGCGACGAUGCGUACUGGAGAAGGGGGUGGAUUCGGCCACAUUGGAACUGAGAUACGGUCCAGACUCCUACSGGAGGCAGCAGUGGGGAAUAUUGCACAAUGGGCGAAAGCCUGAUGCAGCAACGCCGCGUGGAGUGAUGAAGGUCUUCGGAUUGUAAAGCUCUGUCUUUGGGGGCGAUAAUGACGGUACCCAAGGAGGAAGCCACGGCUAACUACGUGCCAGCAGCCGCGGUAAUACGUAGGUGGCGAGCGUUGUCCGGAAUUACUGGGCGUAAAGGAUGCGUAGGCGGAUACUUAAGUCAGAUGUGAAACUCCCGGGCUUAACUUGGGAACUGCAUUUGAAACUGGGUAUCUAGAGUGCGGGAGAGGAAAGUGGAAUUCCUAGUGUAGCGGUGAAAUGCGUAGAGAUUAGGAAGAACACCAGUGGCGAAGGCGACUUUCUGGACCGUAACUGACGCUGAGGCAUGAAAGCGUGGGUAGCAAACAGGAUUAGAUACCCUGGUAGUCCACGCUGUAAACGAUGGGUACUAGGUGUGGGAGGUAUCGACUCCUUCCGUGCCGGCGUUAACACAAUAAGUACCCCGCCUGGGGAGUACGAUCGCAAGAUUAAAACUCAAAGGAAUUGACGGGGGCCCGCACAAGCAGCGGAGCAUGUGGUUUAAUUCGAAGCAACGCGAAGAGCCUUACCUGGACUUGACAUCGUCUGAAUAUCGUAGAGAUACGAGAAGCCCUUCGGGGCAGAUAGACAGGUGGUGCAUGGUUGUCGUCAGCUCGUGUCGUGAGAUGUUAGGUUAAGUCCUGCAACGAGCGCAACCCUUAUCAUUAGUUGCUACCAGUAAGAUGAGCACUCUAAUGAGACUGCCCGGGUUAACCGGGAGGAAGGUGGGGAUGACGUCAAAUCAUCAUGCCCCUUAUGUCCAGGGCUACACACGUGCUACAAUGGUGAGUACAAUUAGAUGCGAACCCGUGAGGGGGAGCCAAACUGAAAAACUCAUCCCAGUUCGGAUUGCAGGCUGCAACUCGCCUGCAUGAAGCCGGAGUUGCUAGUAAUCGCGAAUCAGCAUGUCGCGGUGAAUACGUUCCCGGGCCUUGUACACACCGCCCGUCACACCAUGAGAGUUGGCAACACCCGAAGUCCGUGAGCUAACCGUAAGGAGACAGCGGCCGAAGGUGGGGUCAAUGAUUGGGGUGAAGUCGUAACAAGGUAGCCGUA